rnacentral:rRNA from 1 species
CCCGUGAACCUUUACUAUAGCUUGACACUGAACAUUGAGCCUUGAUGUGUAGGAUAGGUGGGAGGCUUUGAAGCGUGGACGCCAGUCUGCGUGGAGCCGACCUUGAAAUACCACCCUUUAAUGUUUGAUGUUCUAACGUGGACCCGUGAUCCGGGUUGCGGACAGUGUCUGGUGGGUAGUUUGACUGGGGCGGUCUCCUCCUAAAGAGUAACGGAGGAGCACGAAGGUUGGCUAAUCCUGGUCGGACAUCAGGAGGUUAGUGCAAUGGCAUAAGCCAGCUUGACUGCGAGCGUGACGGCGCGAGCAGGUGCGAAAGCAGGUCAUAGUGAUCCGGUGGUUCUGAAUGGAAGGGCCAUCGCUCAACGGAUAAAAGGUACUCCGGGGAUAACAGGCUGAUACCGCCCAAGAGUUCAUAUCGACGGCGGUGUUUGGCACCUCGAUGUCGGCUCAUCACAUCCUGGGGCUGAAGUAGGUCCCAAGGGUAUGGCUGUUCGCCAUUUAAAGUGGUACGCGAGCUGGGUUUAGAACGUCGUGAGACAGUUCGGUCCCUAUCUGCCGUGGGCGCUGGAGAACUGAGGGGGGCUGCUCCUAGUACGAGAGGACCGGAGUGGACGCAUCACUGGUGUUCGGGUUGUCAUGCCAAUGGCACUGCCCGGUAGCUAAAUGCGGAAGAGAUAAGUGCUGAAAGCAUCUAAGCACGAAACUUGCCCCGA